AACAAAAUAGUAAUCAAGGGUAACUACAAUUACUAAAUGUACAAUAAAUGAAGUGCAUAGGCAAGUGAUGAAGGUGAUUAAGUUAAGGUACGGUAAACCUUAUUUUACAAUAACAAAGAACUGAGCAAGUUUUUGUUAUUAAAGAAUAUCAGUUUUAAACAUCUAAUUAAUUAGAAUAUUUUAUACUGAAACACACUAUGCCAAGGUCUAAUUUAAAGGGUUGGAAAGUGGAAUAUUUACGUUUCUGCCUUUGAUGCAGUGGAUGGAAGAAGUUGGAUCUUCCUGCAGAUCUUGAAGCAUGAAACGAGCAGACUUGGCUCUCUUGAGCUUUGGGUGGAAGAAAUCUGUAGUUUCUGGAACACGCAGACUGGAGAUUUCUAGAAGUGGUGGUUCGAUGUCGGGAACAUGCCGACGUCUUUAUCCUUGAGCGUAGAAAUCUGUAUCUUCUGGAACACGCAGAAAUUGGAGAUUUCUGGAGGUGGUGGUUCGAUGCUGGGAACACGCCGAUGCCUUUUCUUUGAAGGUAGAGUUCCUGGAAAUCUGGGACACGCAGAUUUUUGGAGGUGGUGGCCUUGAUGCGAUGGUUCAGACGCCUUGGAAAAAGCACUGUGAAUCCAAUUACCAAAUCCUUGCUGGAACACGCAGCAAAAGGUCUGAUGUCUAGGACAAAACCCCGCAAACCACCCUGAACCACACUUUGACCACUCUUCAACCACCUUUUAGGACACACUCUUUAGGACCCACACUUAACAGAUUUUUUACCAGGCAAUGUCUUUAAUACUUUCUCUGGAAGGCGGUAUUGAAGGAUGUCACCUUUCAAAUCCAGCAUUGUGAUUGGAUGAUCCUGUGAGUUGGUCACUGGGAGGUGUCAUCCAUAAUGUGGCCUGCAUUUGCAUAGUCAUAGUCCACUGGUUAACUAUGAUAAUAUUUAAGAGUCUUAAAUAUUUUCCUAUGCAUAAUUCACUUUCCAAACCACAUCUAAUUUACCCAAGGCAUUAUUUGGAAUAGAUAGAGUCUAAACAUCGCUAUGUAAUGUUGAUCUUUACCCAAGCAUUCAUAUAUAAACCUUAAUAAGCAAAGUUUCAUACAGUGAAGUAUUUCAAGCAGUGCAUAUUAAAUAUAUACAUGAUCAUUUGAAUAUACAGGUAUAUGACGUGAAAUUUUCCAUUUGUGUCUCUUUUGUGACAUGCAAGUUUACUGAUCCAUGUGUAUCUCUGAGUUUGAGACGAUGUCAAAAGUUGAUUG